rnacentral:rRNA from 1 species
CGGAGCUUGAGAGAGCUUGCUUUCUUAAGCUUAGUGGCGAACGGGUGAGUAACGCGUGAGGAACCUGCCUCAGAGUGGGGGACAACAGUUGGAAACGACUGCUAAUACCGCAUAAGCCCACGGGUCCGCAUGGAUCUGAGGGAAAAGGAGCAAUCCGCUUUGAGAUGGCCUCGCGUCCGAUUAGCUAGUUGGUGAGGUAACGGCCCACCAAGGCGACGAUCGGUAGCCGGACUGAGAGGUUGGACGGCCACAUUGGGACUGAGACACGGCCCAGACUCCUACGGGAGGCAGCAGUGGGGAAUAUUGCACAAUGGGGGAAACCCUGAUGCAGCGACGCCGCGUGGAGGAAGAAGGUCUUCGGAUUGUAAACUCCUGUUGUUGGGGACGAUAAUGACGGUACCCAACAAGGAAGUGACGGCUAACUACGUGCCAGCAGCCGCGGUAAAACGUAGGUCACAAGCGUUGUCCGG